UACAGAGGUCCCAAGCGUUGUUCGGAUUCACUGGGCGUAAAGGGUGCGUAGGCGGUCGGGUAAGUCUGAUGUGAAAUCUCACAGCUUAACUGUGAAACUGCAUUGGAUACUAUCCGGCUCGAGGAAUGGAGGGGAGACUGGAAUACUUGGUGUAGCAGUGAAAUGCGUAGAUAUCAAGUGGAACACCAGUGGCGAAGGCGAGUCUCUGGACAUUUCCUGAUGCUGAGGCACGAAAGCCGGGGGAGCAAACGGG
rnacentral:rRNA from 1 species